rnacentral:rRNA from 1 species
GAUGAACGCUAGCGAUAGGCCUAACACAUGCAAGUCGAGGGGCAUCACGGGAGUAGCAAUACAACUGGUGGCGACCGGCGCACGGGUGAGUAACACGUAUGCAACCUACCUACUUCAGGGGAAUAACCCGGAGAAAUUCGGACUAAUACCGCAUAAUACAGGGGUCCCGCAUGGGAAUAUUUGUUAAAGAUUUAUCGGAAGUAGAUGGGCAUGCGUUCCAUUAGAUAGUUGGUAAGGUAACGGCUUACCAAGUCAGCGAUGGAUAGGGGAACUGAGAGGUUUGUCCCCCACACUGGAACUGAGACACGGACCAGACUCCUACGGGAGGCAGCAGUGAGGAAUAUUGGUCAAUGGGCGAGAGCCUGAACCAGCCAAAUCGCGUGAAGGAAGACUGCCCUACGGGUUGUAAACUUCUUUUGCAGGGGAAUAAAAGAGAGUACGUGUGCUUUAUUGCAUGUACCCUGCGAAUAAGCAUCGGCUAACUCCGUGCCAGCAGCCGCCGUAA